GACGAACGCUGGCGGCGUGCUUAACACAUGCAAGUCGAACGGAAAGGCCCUGCUUGCUGGGUGCUAGAGUUGCGAACGGGCGGGUAACUCGUGGGUGAUCUGCCCCCUACUUUGGGAUAGGCCAGGGCAACUGGGUCUAAUACUUGAUAGGACCUAGCUGUAGGGGGUGUGGUGGAAAGAUUAGUUUCGGUAGGGGAUGAGCUCGGGGCCGAUCAGCUUUUUGCAGGGGUAAUGGCAUACCACGGCGUCGCCGGGUAGCCGGCCAGAGUGGGUGGACGGCAAGAUCGGGACUGAGACGGGAGCCAGACGCGGGCAGUAUGCAGCAGUGGGGAAUAUUGUGCAAUAGGCGCAAGCCGGAUGCAGCGACGGCGCGUGGGUGGUGACGGCCUUCGGGUUGGAAACACCUUUCAGCCAUGACGAAGCCCUUGUGGUGACGGUAGUGAUAGAAGAAGCACCGGCUAACUACGUG
rnacentral:rRNA from 1 species